GCUCAGAAGUGUUCUGGAAUCUUGUUUCCCGCCCUGAAAUAAGUUGAUGGCAGUUAUGGCAUGGGCUGAUCUACCCAGUCAGCAAGGCCAGAUUGCAGAGAAACUCAGAGUCUAGGAAAAUGAAUGUCUAGGAACAUUCCUCAAAUAGUCCUACCAGAAGACACAAAGAUGAUGCAUCCGGAUGAAGAAUAUAUCACUGAGAUUAAUGGCCCUGGGUUGCAGCCAAAAGCAUCUCAGAGGUAGAACACUGUUGCAGAUGGUGAUGUUACCAUUUGAAAGUAAGAAGAAAACUAGUAUCUCUUUACACCAAGAGUAAAAAUAGAGAAGAUGCUUACAAACUGCAACACAUAGAGUUUCUUGAAAUCACAGUUUGGGAGUGGAGGAAAAGGCUGCUUAAGUGUUUGGAAAGGGAGAGUAAGGAUGAAAUAGAGUGGGGGUAUGAUGCAUUUCCUGACUGUGGUCGGCUUUCCAUGGGUGAAACAGAAAAGUCUUCAAAUAUCCUCACCAACUGCUUUCCUAGAUUUUUCAGCCAGUUACUUGACCAUAUUAGGAAAAGAAAGCAUACUACACCCAUCUCAGAGCUGGCCUCUUGAGGUAGCCACACCGCCACAGGAACCAUUGUAAUCUCUGCAUCAAGUUCAAGUUCACAAAUAAGCAAAGAGUAAUUGAUUCUGAGAGAAAUUUCUCCAAGGAUUCCUGCAGUUCUCCUUUGAACAUACGAAGAGGGAACAUUCUUUCAGUCCUAGAAGUUGCUGAAGCAGAGAUGGAGAACCCCAGACUGGAGGGCUUUGAUUUCACCCUGCACAUCUAAGGGCAUAAAUUGGUUCCAGGUCAGGAUCAUAUGAGCAUAAGUCUGAGUUGGGUGUCUCUGAUCAUUCCAGAAUUCCAUUGGAAGGCAGACUUAUAUUCCUGAGAAGCAGGAAUGAGAAGCACAGUGGAAUUUUGCAAAGGAAACAGAACUUGAACUCAGCAGUCGUAGGUGCCAGUCCUUGACUAGCUAUAAUAUUGGGCAAGUCAUAUAAAUUCUCCAGGCACAGUGUCCCUUUUGGCAAACAACAGACAGAAUAUAAAUAUGUGUUGCCAGGUCAGUGGACAUUUCAAGGACAGUUUGAUUUUAAUGUGAAGUCAUCUAAUUUUAAAUGCUCUAUUAAAUUUUAUUUUUUUUAGUUGUAUAAGCUUAAGAACAGGUAUCAGACAAGACUUCUUCAGGACAGACAAAGCACUAUUUCAUUUUUUUUUCCUCUGGCCUUCCCAGCUCAGAUUCUCAAAAAAUAAAAGAAAUUAAAAAAAAAAUUCUGCUUUCAAUCCCUGCUUUUUUCUAUUUUUUAAUUAUCACACCAUACACUUCAGUUGGUCUUCUGCUCCACCACCUCAUGAAAAGGAUCUC
rnacentral:lncRNA from 1 species